rnacentral:rRNA from 1 species
UGGGGGAUAUUGCACAAUGGGCGAAAGCCUGAUGCAGCGACGCCGCGUGGGGGAUGAAGGCCUUCGGGUUGUAAACUUCUUUUGCUCUGAACAAGGCAUGCCUUUGGGGUGUGUUGAGUGUAGGGGUUGAUUAGUGCCGGCUAACUACGUGCCAGCAGCCGCGGUAAUACGUAGGGCGCGAGCGUUGUCCGGAAUUAUUGGGCGUAAAGGGCUUGUAGGUGGCUGGUUGCGUCUGUAGUGAAAGCUCAUGGCUUAACUGUGGGUUUGCGGUGGGUACGGGCUGGCUUGAGUGCAGUAGGGGAGGCUGGAAUUCCUGGUGUAGCGGUGGAAUGCGCAGAUAUCAGGAGGAAUACCGGUGGCGAAGGCGGGUCUCUGGGCUGUUACUGACGCUGAGGAGCGAAAGCGUGGGGAGCGAACAGG